AAAUAGGCUACGUUAGAUUAUUUUGUAUGAUAGAUUAGGCUGAUGUGUGUAUUUGAACUUGAUCCCUAUUUUGUAUUUGAACUUGAUCCCUAUUUUAUAACUAUAUUCUGCACAGAAGACUUACAGUUAAGUCGUCUGGAAUGUUGGACGACUUAACUAUAAGUAGUCUGGAAAGUCUUCUGAGCAGUGACCUUUUGUAACUAUAUUUCGGAUAAUAUAAAGGGCUAGACCGUCUC
rnacentral:lncRNA from 1 species